rnacentral:rRNA from 1 species
GCAAGUCGAGCGGGCGUAGCAAUACGUCAGCGGCAGACGGGUGAGUAACGCGUGGGAACGUACCUUUUGGUUCGGAACAACACAGGGAAACUUGUGCUAAUACCGGAUAAGCCCUUACGGGGAAAGAUUUAUCGCCGAAAGAUCGGCCCGCGUCUGAUUAGCUAGUUGGUAGGGUAACGGCCUACCAAGGCGACGAUCAGUAGCUGGUCUGAGAGGAUGAUCAGCCACAUUGGGACUGAGACACGGCCCAAACUCCUACGGGAGGCAGCAGUGGGGAAUAUUGGACAAUGGGGGCAACCCUGAUCCAGCCAUGCCGCGUGAGUGAUGAAGGCCCUAGGGUUGUAAAGCUCUUUUGUGCGGGAAGAUAAUGACGGUACCGCAAGAAUAAGCCCCGGCUAACUUCGUGCCAGCAGCCGCGGUAAUACGAAGGGGGCUAGCGUUGCUCGGAAUCACUGGGCGUAAAGGGUGCGUAGGCGGGUCUUUAAGUCAGGGGUGAAAUCCUGGAGCUCAACUCCAGAACUGCCUUUGAUACUGAAGAUCUUGAGUUCGGGAGAGGUGAGUGGAACUGCGAGUGUAGAGGUGAAAUUCGUAGAUAUUCGCAAGAACACCAGUGGCGAAGGCGGCUCACU